AUUCCUAUAGUUUAAAGAAAAUAUUAAAUUGCAAAUUUAAAGAUGAGAGUAUUUAGGAAUU
rnacentral:tRNA from 1 species